AGUCUUAUAUUCAUAUUUAAUGAUAUAAAAUUGCAAAUUUUAAGGAGUAAAAUUAAAAUUAAUUACUAAGGCUU
rnacentral:tRNA from 1 species